GAUUAAAUUAUUCAACGUAAAAGCACUUAGAACAGUGCCAGGCAUAUAAAAGGCACUUAUUAAAUCUUUGCUAUUAAAUUAGUCAUUUCAAGAAUGUCCAGCAAGUAUGUGACAGGGGAAGCUCUGCUUUCAUUGUUGAUAUAGCUCUGGCCUCUGGGACCCAGUGAUAGUACUAUCAGUUCUCUGGCCAAAUUCCAACUUUCGUUCUUGCCUUAGAAGCAAUACAGUCCUCCCCACUCCAGGAGAGGAAGUAGCUUUUAAAAAGCUAAAAAGGAACUUCACAGCCUGCAUAUUAAAAAGCGAGGUCAUUCUGCCCUUUCUCAACUUGUCUGUGGAGCUCAGCACUGUUAUGUCAGGAGGAUUGCUAAAACAGGCAGUUCUCAUCAAUUAUUGGGUAACGACUAUGUUUAGGUCAGAAAGAUAAAUAUGGGGGGACUGGGAAAGGGUUGAGAAGAGUCAGAGAAUGCACAUACUCACAAAUAAGGAAGGCCAACAUUUUUGCCUUCCUGACCUCCUUGCAAUCCUGCCAGGACACAUCAUAAGACAAGAAAGAGAAAAUCUGAAACCUGUCAUGGAUUAUUUGGCUAAGGCGUAUCAACUGCCACAACAACGGGUAUAGAAGAAAGGAAGCGUGAUGGAAGGAAAGGACUGGAUGAAUCAGAAAUCUGCAUUAGGGGAAAAUGCUGGCAUACCCCGCUCUGCAUCAUCUCAGGCUCUUUGCUUCUGCUUCUCCAGCAAUCUGACACAUCUCCUGGGUUUUUAGAUAGUGAGUCAAAUUCUGUUCCUUCUUUCUUGCCUUUAAUGAUUAUUUGUAGGGCACCGGAUACCAAGCAGGACCCUAUGGGGCUCCUAGGCACAAAAACCUCCCUGUGUUCCCCAUUUCUUGAUUACAGGAAAUAGGCUUCAUUCAGCUUCCUUGAACUCCCCUGAGUUCCAGCGGCAGGUUCA
rnacentral:lncRNA from 1 species